AACGAACGCUGGCGGCAUGCCUAACACAUGCAAGUCGAACGAGACCUUCGGGUCUAGUGGCGCACGGGUGCGUAACGCGUGGGAACCUGCCCUUAGGUUCGGAAUAACUCCCCGAAAGGGGUGCUAAUACCGGAUAAUGUCUUCGGACCAAAGAUUUAUCGCCUUUGGAUGGGCCCGCGUUGGAUUAGCUAGUUGGUAGGGUAAAAGCCUACGAAGGCGAGGAUCCAUAGCUGGUCUGAGAGGAUGAUCAGCCACACUGGGACUGAGACACGGCCCAGACUCCUACGGGAGGCAGCAGUGGGGAAUAUUGGACAAUGGGCGAAAGCCUGAUCCAGCAAUGCCGCGUGAGUGAUGAAGGCCUUAGGGUUGUAAAGCUCUUUUACCCGGGAUGAUAAUGACAGUACCGGGAGAAUAAGCGCCGGCUAACUCCGUG
rnacentral:rRNA from 1 species